rnacentral:rRNA from 1 species
GACGAACGCUGGCGGCGUGCUUAACACAUGCAAGUCGAACGGAAAGGCCCUGCUUUUGUGGGGUGCUCGAGUGGCGAACGGGUGAGUAACACGUGAGUAACCUGCCCUUGACAUUGGGAUAACUUCAGGAAACUGGGGCUAAUACCGGAUAGGAGCUCCUGCUGCAUGGUGGGGGUUGGAAAGUUUCGGCUGUUGGGGAUGGACUGGCGGCUUAUCAGCUUGUUGGUGGGGUAGUGGCUUACCAAGGCUUUGACGGGUAGCCGGCCUGAGAGGUUGACCGGGGACCUGGGGACUGAGAUACGGACCAGACUGCUACGGGACGCAGAAGUGGGGAAUAUGGCACAGUGGGCGGAAGCCUGAUGCAGCAACGCCGCGUGCGGGAAGACGGCUUUCGAGUUGUAAACCGCUUUCGCCGGUGCCGAAGAGGGAGUGACGGUAAUGGGUAAAGAAGCACCGGCUAACUACGUG